rnacentral:lncRNA from 1 species
AAGUUGCAGGAAUGGCCUUUAGGGUCAACCGUCGUCCUAAUUUUUUUUGUAUCACUCAACGAUUAGGAAACAGAGGACAAAGCACUAUUAUAGAUGGUCAAUCAGUAAUUAUCAAAUUUGUCAGAUGAGGAAGGUUACCUUGAUUUUUGUGUUGCUCUCUGGGAAUGAAUUGGAAAAUCUUUUAACUGAAGUAUAUUAAGUAGCUAUGUCACCUUUAAAAUGCCAAACUUCAACACUACGCAUUAUGAGUUCUCUUUUGUUGUAACUGCUAUCAGAUUAUGGGAAGAACUACCAACUGAGGUGGAAGUAAUGGAACUGAAGAGACUCUGAAACGUACAAAUUUCAAAGUGACUAGUCGAGAAGAACACAGUGAACAAAGUUACCGAAUUGUUUAACAGGUUCAAGCAGCUACUCAAAUCAAUGGCUAGUUUUUUUGAAGUUGUUGAGAUGUAAUGUUUCAAAUGGUGGAUAUGGUAAAAUAAUGUA